rnacentral:lncRNA from 1 species
CUCCUCACUACGUGCCCAAAAUGGACACAGUAUUCCAGGUGUGGUCUGACAAGGCAGAAUAGAGGGGGAGCAUGACUUCCCUGGAUCUAGACGCUAUACCCCUAUUUAUGCAGGCCAGAAUCCCAUUGGCUUUUUUAGCUGCCGCUUCACAUUGUUGGCUCAUCUUUAACUUGUUGUCCACGAGGACUCCAAGGUCUUUUUCGCACACACUGCUGCCAAACUAGGCAUCCCCCAUUCUGUAUCUUUGAUUUCCAUUUUUUCUGCCGAAGUGAAGUAUCUUGCAUUUAUCCCUGUUGAACUUCAUUUUGUUAGUUUCGGCCCAUCUCUCUAGACUGUCAAGAUCAUUUUGAAUUCUGCUCCUGUCUUCUGGGGUGUUAGCUAUCCCUCCCAGUUUGGUGUCAUCUGCAAACUUGAUGAUCAUGCCUUCUAACCCUUCGUCUAAGUCGUUAAUAAAGAUGUUAAAGAGAACCGGGCCCAGGACGGAGCCCUGCGGCACUCCACUUGUCUCACUUCUUUCCAUGAUGAAGACAACGCAUUGGUGAGCACCCUUUGGGUUCGUUCGCUUAGCCAAUUACAGAUCCACCUAACCGUAGUUUUGUCUAGUCCACAUUUUACUAGUUUGUUUGCCAGAAGGUCAUGGGGGACUUAGACGAAGGGUUAGAAGGCACGAUCAUCAAGUUUGCAGAUGACACCAAACUGGGAGGGAUAGCCAACACUCCAGAAGAAAGGAGCAGAAUUCAAAACGAUCUUGACAGACUAGAGAGAUAGGCCGAAACUAACAAAAUGAAGUUCAACAGGGACAAAUGCAAGAUACUUCACUUCAGCAGAAAAAAUGUGAAAAAGAUCUUGGAGUCUUCAUGGACAACAAGUUAAACAUGAGCCAGCAAUGUGAUGCGGCUGCUAAGAAAGCCAACGGGAUUUUGGCCUGCAUCAAUAGGGGUAUAGCAUCUAGAUCCAGGGAAGUCAUGCUCCCCCUCUAUUCUGCCUUGGUCAGACCACACCUGGAAUACUGUGUCCAAUUCUGGGCACCGCAGUUGAAGGGAGAUGUUGACAAGCUGGAAGGCGUCCAGAGGAGGGCAACUAAAAUGAUCAAAGGUCUGGAGAACAAGCCCUAUGAGGAGAGGCUUAAAGAACUGGGCAUGUUUAGCCUGCAGAAGAGAAGGCUAAGAGGAGACAUGAUAGCCAUGUACAAAUAUGUGAGGGGAAGUCAUAGGGCUUGUUCUCCAGACCCUUAAUCAUUUUAGUCGCCCUCCUCUGGACGCUUUCCAGCUUGUCAACAUCUCCCUUCAUCUGCGGUGCCCAAAAUUGGACACAGUAUUCCAGGUGUGGUCUGACCAAGGCAGAAUAGAGGGGGAGCAUGACUUCCCUGGAUCUAGAUGCUAUUCCCCUAUUGAU